rnacentral:rRNA from 1 species
UACGAAGGGGGCUAGCGUUGCUCGGAAUCACUGGGCGUAAAGGGCGCGUAGGCGGCCUCUUAAGUCGGGGGUGAAAGCCCAGGGCUCAACCCUGGAAUUGCCUUCGAUACUGAGAGCCUUGAGUUCGGAAGAGGUUGGUGGAACUGCGAGUGUAGAGGUGAAAUUCGUAGAUAUUCGCAAGAACACCAGUGGCGAAGGCGGCCAACUGGUCCGAUACUGACGCUGAGGCGCGAAAGCGUGGGGAGCAAACAGG